CUUUCUCUCCACCUAGUACAUGUACAUGUACAUCUAACUUUUGCUCUUUCUCUUUUCGUCCUAUAAAGGAUUCUCCUGUCUCUCAUGUUCUUUGUCUUUUUGUGUUAACACAAGCUUAUAGUAUCAUAUUGUAACAGUUUUGGGUCACAGAUGCAUUGCUUGUCAAGAUUCAAGAUCCCAUGAAAUCCACCUGCUUUUUAUUUUUGGCAAAAGAUGUGGGAACAGAACAAUCCUAACAACAUGAUGGAGAAUAGAAUUAUGACAAAAUGCUAAGAGAAUUCAAAGCAUGUCCCAUUUGAAAAAUGCUGUUAACUAUACUCAUAAUCAAGAAACAGUUUGUUCCAUAGACAUUAUCAUAUAAAGGCUGUGUUAAGAUUAAUAUGCACUAAUGCAAUGAUAAGUCGUAUGUGAUGUAAAUGUACAUGUAUUUGAGUUAAUGGAUUACUAAGUAAUUGUAAUGGUAGUUGUCACAGGCCUAUGUCACUGAGUCCCUGACUGUACAUGAAUGUACAAUGUAUUCUCAGAUAAAUUCAUUAACAAUGACAUUGCCUUCUGAGCACAGAUGGCAAUGAAGUUACCAUUGCCAUUACUAUUACUUUUUUAAUAACAAUUUAGUGCUGUACACCUUCCUCUCAUUCCUCUUUUUGUUUCUCUAUCUCUUUAGUGUCACCAUUUUCUUGAUGCAUCAAGCUUAGGAGAUACUGAGGUCAUCAAUGAGUCUUGCAUUCAAGCUUGUUGUCUUUCAAAAUUAGGACACUGUACAUGAACAUACUUUGUUGUUUUUUUUAUAAUAACAUUAUUAUAGUUGUUGUUUUGUUACAUAAAAUGGUUUUAAUACUAUAAUG